UUCUUGUCCUCAAGAAUGAAGAAAAUGUUGGAAAUUGAAAUGAAUUUUAGGUGCUGCCUUCUCAUCAGCUGACAGAAUGCGAGAAUCCCACAUAGUUUCUUUUGCUAGCUAGUUACUUCUGGCCAGUUAAUUCCUUGAAUUUUGGAAUACCAAAUGUUAACUUCCAUCAUAUGCUUCAGCUGAAAUGUCCCAUAGAAUUGGCUAAAAGUUGCAACUGAUAGUAUGAACUGUUAA
rnacentral:misc_RNA from 1 species